rnacentral:rRNA from 1 species
CCCUUAGAUGUUCGGGGCCGCACGCGCGCUACACUGAAGGUAGCAGAGGGUGUGAAUCGCUCGCCCUCCCCGAAGUGGGGUGGGUAAACCGAUGAAUUACCGUAUUACUCGUGGCUUGGGACCGGGGCUUGGAAUUGUUGCCCGCGAACGAGGAAUUCCAGUAAGCGCGAGUCAUAAGCUGGCGUUGAUUACGUCCCUGCCCUUUGUACACACCGCCCGUCGCUACUACCGAUUGGACGGUUUAGCGAGGCCUUCGGAUUAGCGCGCGCCGCGCCGCCCGCCCUUCGGGGUUGGGUGGCUGGUGAUAGCGUUGAGAAGACGGUCGAACUUGACCGUCUAGAGGAAGUAAAAGUCGUAACA